GAUGAAGAACGCAGUGAAAUGCGAUAAGUAAUGUGAAUUGCAGAAUCUCGUGAAUCAUCGAAUCUUUGAACGCACAUUGCGCCCUAUGGUAUUCCGUAGGGCAUGCCUGUCUGAGCGUCAGCUCCCACCCCACUCAAGUAUCUAUUUAUCAGAUGCUUGGAAUGCUUUGGAGAAGUGCCUUGUUAUAGAGACGCCCCCCAGAAAUUGAUAGGCAGUAUGGUUUGCACCUGAACCAGACGUAAUAAUAAUAAAAUCGUUUGGUUAGGGAUGAUUGUGCUUGCCUCAACCCACCCAUUUUUUUAUUUUUUUAUCUUUGGGUGACCUCAGAUCAGGUAGGGAUACCCGCUGAACUUAAGCAUAUCAAUAAGCGGAGGA
rnacentral:misc_RNA from 1 species